CUCGCGGCGCGACCCGCCUGCAGGGAGGGUGUGUGUCCCGUCCUGCCAGACGACGCUGCGCCCUCCUCUCGCGGCUGCAAGCUGGCCAGCGUGCUCAAUCCCUGUAUCCAAUGGAGAUAAUGAAUUCAGAAGGUGAAUUCAGAAUUCAGAUACUUGAGAGUUCACAUCAGUAUUCCCUGCAAACUCAUGCUAUCACCCAGCCAAGACCAAACUGGUUUUUACUGAGAAAAGACCAUCUUGCUGGGUGAGCCCUGAAGAGAUUUAAAAGAAUGAGAAGGGCUUGUUUCCUUUUCGUGCCUCAGACAUACUGACUAGAGUGGACACAAGGUUGAGCAUACAAUUUUUCAGACACAGCAGAUAUGAAGAAACUUUUUCAAGGUGUUUUGCAGCAACUGUUAGGUCAUUUCCAAAUUGUUUCUUGAAUUAUACGUGUGUCACAUACAUCUGGGAUGAACAUUGAACAUAUUCCAAUAUCAUGCAAUUGUGUUUCCCUUAUCUGUAAAAGCAAGUGUUGUAUGUUCUCCACCUCAGCUUAGAAUGGCUCCCUGGAGAAAGGAGAGACAACUGUCUGCCAUCUUUUCUGCUUCAGCAUUCUUGGGGCUGUGUUACACAUCACAUGUCUUGUGGAGAUGCUCAGCGGAUCUCCUUUGCCCAGGGAGGUGGUGGAGUCUCCUUCUUUGGAGAUGUUCAAAACCUGCCUGGAUGCCUACCUGUGCGACCUG